GCCCCCAUCACCCCCCUUAUCCAAGAUGGCGGCGCACCGCGCACGGGGUUUCCCCUCCCACUCUCGACGGGCGCCGGGGCUGCACAAAGAUAACGUGCAGCACCGAGAAUAGCAAUAGAGUUAAAAACAAAGUCUUCGAGGUGCUUCACACGCUAGCUACAAGCAGUAUGUCCGUGUUUCGGCCCUGCCUCAGGCUCCCUCAGGGCCUGGAAAAGGAAACCUGUGGUGCUUGCUGAGGUGCGGUGGUUCCUCCCGGGUGGUUCCAGCAGGAGCCUGGCAGGGCACAGGUACACAGGACAGAGCUUCAAACACAACCAUGGGAGGAAUGAAUCAUGUGUACCAAGCAGAUGAGCCAGAAAGUCCAUGUCUUCACAUGUCUACUGUUACAACUCCACUGCCAA